AUUGAACGCUGGCGGCAGGCCUAACACAUGCAAGUCGAACGAGUGGCGGACGGGUGAGUAAUGUCUGGGAAACUUCCUGAUGGAGGGGGAUCACUACUGGAAACGGUAUCUAAUACCGCAUACCAUCAGAUGUGCCCAGAUGGUAGUAGCGAGUUGGUGGGGUAACGGCUCACUAAGGCGACGAUCCCUAGCUGGUCUGAGAGGGUGACCAGCCACGCGGGAACUGAGACACGUGCCAGACUCCUACGGGGGCCACAAGGGGGGAACAUUGGACAAUGGGCGAAAGCCGGAUGCGGCCAUGCCCCGUAUAGCAAGAAGGCCUUCGGGUUGUAAGGUACUUUAAGCGGGGAGGCGGUACCCGCAGAUGAAGCACCGGCUAACUCCGUGCCAGCAGCCGCGGUAAUUC
rnacentral:rRNA from 1 species